rnacentral:rRNA from 1 species
GACGAACGCUGGCGGCGUGCCUAACACAUGCAAGUCGAGCGAAUGAAGUUCCUUCGGGAAUGGAUUUAGCGGCGGACGGGUGAGUAACACGUGGGCAACCUGCCUCAUAGAGGGGAAUAGCCUUCCGAAAGGGAGAUUAAUACCGCAUAAGAUUGUAGUACCGCAUGAUACAGCAAUUAAAGGAGCAAUCCGCUAUGAGAUGGGCCCGCGGCGCAUUAGCUAGUUGGUGAGGUAACGGCUCACCAAGGCGACGAUGCGUAGCCGACCUGAGAGGGUGAUCGGCCACAUUGGGACUGAGACACGGCCCAGACUCCUACGGGAGGCAGCAGUGGGGAAUAUUGCACAAUGGGGGAAACCCUGAUGCAGCAACGCCGCGUGAGUGAUGACGGCCUUCGGGUUGUAAAGCUCUGUCUUCAGGGACGAUAAUGACGGUACCUGAGGAGGAAGCCACGGCUAACUACGUGCCAGCAGCCGCCGUAC